AAACAUUUAUACCUCCUCUUCCCAAUCGUCAUCAUUUUCGUCCCCAUCUGCAUUCAUUUGGAACAAAAUUCCAGAGAAAUUUUGCACUACUCCUCACAAAACUGAAAACUACAACAUGUGUGGCAUUGUGUGCUAGACAAUAAUACUAUAAUACUAAGUACUUUGCACAUUUACAACCACUGACCACUAAAUCGUUGAAGAGCCGCUCGACGCUCAAAAUCGCGCAAAAUUUUCACUUUUCAACAAUAUUCUUUUCGUUUAUUCUAACCGAACUUCUUAAUUCAAAGUUGUCUUCUUAUUUUUUAUCAUGAAUGUAAGCCUUUUGCGCAUUUGUAUUAAAAUUUAUAGAAAUAUUAAAAAUACAAAAGUAUGUGUGAGCUUGCGGGCGCUUUAUCUGCAUUCACAUACCGG